rnacentral:tRNA from 1 species
GGGGGUGUGGCAGAGAGGUUUAUCGCGCCCGGUUUGGAACCGGGUGGCCCCUGCUCAGGGUAGCGGCCCGUGGGUUCGAAUCCCACCACCCCCGCCA